rnacentral:rRNA from 1 species
UGGUCAAGUUAUUAAGGGUGCAGGGCGGAUGCCUUGGCACUAGGAGCCGAUGAAGGACGUGAUAAGCUGCGAUAAGCUUCGGGGAGUUGCACGUAAACUUUGAUCCGAAGAUUUCCGAAUGAGGAAACUCACUUAGAGUAAUGUCUAAGUAUCAUUAAGUGAAUACAUAGCUUAAUGAGGGGAACUCAGGGAACUGAAACAUCUAAGUACCUGAAGGAAGAUAAAGAAAUUCGAUUCCGUAAGUAGCGGCGAGCGAACGCGGAUUAGCCCAAACCAAUAAAGUUUUCUUUAUUGGGGUUGCGGACAUAUCAUAACGAAGAGGUAUCGUAAUUGAAGAGGUUUGGAAAGACCCACCACAGAAGGUAAUAGUCCUGUAUGUUAAACGAGAAGACUUUAGAUAUGAUCCAGAGUACCACGGGACACGUGAAACCCUGUGGGAAGCAGGAGGGACCACCCUCCAAGGCUAAAUACUACCUAGUGACCGAUAGCGUAUAGUACCGUGAGGGAAAGGUGAAAAGAACCCCGGGAGGGGAGUGAAAUAGAACCUGAAACCCUGCACUUACAAGCUGUGGAAGCACAUUUCUUGUGUGACCGCGUACUUUUUGUAGAACGGGCCAACGAGUUACGUUAAGUAGCAAGGUUAAGCACUUAAGGUGCGGAGCCGUAGCGAAAGCGAGUUUUAACUGAGCGUUCAGUUACUUGACGUAGACCCGAAACCGGGCGACCUACCCAUGAGCAGGAUGAAGCGAAAGUAAAAUUUCGUGGAGGUCCGAACCCACGAGCG